GAGUCAGUAGUUUUUCUGCUGUAUCCAUUGCAUCAUUCUCAAUGAGUUUGUAAAUAAUUAAGGGAAGGAUUGGAAGCAUGCGUGUUGCAAUGUCAUCAAAGAACACGGGAUACUUGUUUGACAUCUGUGUAGUGGUUGUCGGCCACUGGUUCAGAGCUAUGGGGCGAUUCAGUAUUAGGCAAUGAUUCAGGUUGAGGCAGUUCAAGGGCGCUGGUUGCAUUUGUUACGGUUUGCAGGGCCUUGGCUUCAAAUGAUUUCUUUCCAUGAGAAGGCAACAAUUGAGUUACUGGGAUAUUUGUUCUAUUUGGCUGGCUAUAAUUCAACACGCUCAUGACCUAGCCAAUAUCAGCACCCACUCCAUAUCCAACCAUAACUUGAUUUUGGCCAGGAAUGAGAUUUUUUUCUUCUCGGCAUUUCAGCUUCAAUUGCUUCUUCAGAGAUAACUUCUCUAGUCUCUGUUCACUUUCCUUAGCAAUGCAUGUAUAUAGGUAAUACAAAUCACCCAAGGCUUCAAGACUUUUAUUACAACCGCCGAUGAACACAAGAACACCCCCCUUAAAUGGGUCCAAACAAUCACCAGCUACAGAAAAUGUAGCAGAAGGACAAUUGGUUGCAGUUGUAACAUUUGUCCAAAUACCAGUAUCAAUAUCAAGCAUAUAAAGGUCAUUGUAUAGAUUUUGGGCGUCCGUAAAAUCCACCGAAAAAAACAAGUUCUUGGCAAAAGAAGUGGUGGAAUGACCAGCCCGAGGUAGUAACAAUAGGCCUGAUGUACUCAGCUCCCUUCACAUUAGAGUAUCUACUAAGAGCACGAGCAGAUGGGUGAAGAGGGUUUUUCCGUUGACGAGGAACAAGAGAGGGUUAUUAACAAACAGGCUUGCCAAGUAUGUUCAGAAGUUUCUGAAGGGACCGGUUGAUGAUCAUGGAAGCAUUGACCUCGAGUGGCUGAGAGACGCUUCACUACUUGCAGCGCAAAGCUCGCUUUUAUGAGUUUGCGAAAUUUGAACUCAUGCUUCAUCAUCGGUCUCAGGUGGCGUUGUAGCAGAAAUACUCCAACCUGAAUUUCGGGUUGCGGCGGCUGGAAGCAUUGCAGAAUUGGCAUGGCUUUGAGAUGCAGAGAAUAGCAUUUGGAGGAGGUUCUACGUUGUGAUUAGCAGAUAGUUUGCCGGCUUUGGUUUCAUCAUCAUGUAAAACAACAGCUUUAUACAAUCCUGUCAUAAUCA